rnacentral:rRNA from 1 species
AUUGAACGCUGGCGGCAGGCUUAACACAUGCAAGUCGAGCGGGGUGAUGGUGCUUGCACUAUCACUUAGCGGCGGACGGGUGAGUAAUGCUUAGGAAUCUGCCUAUUAGUGGGGGACAACAUCUCGAAAGGGAUGCUAAUACCGCAUACGUCCUACGGGGGAAAGCAGGGGAUCACUUGUGACCUUGCGCUAAUAGAUGAGCCUAAGUCGGAUUAGCUAGUUGGUGGGGUAAAGGCCUACCAAGGCGACGAUCUGUAGCGGGUCUGAGAGGAUGAUCCGCCACACGGGGACUGGAACACGGCCCAGACUCCUACGGGAGGCAGCAGUGGGGAAUAUUGGACAAUGGGGGGAACCCUGAUCCAGCCAUGCCGCGUGUGUGAAGAAGGCCUUAUGGUUGUAAAGCACUUUAAGCGAGGAGGAGGCUCUUUUGGUUAAUACCCAGAAUGAGUGGACGUUACUCGCAGAAUAAGCACCGGCUAACUCUGUGCCAGCCGCCGCAGUAA